rnacentral:rRNA from 1 species
GAAAGCCCAGAAAAGAAAUGGAAAAAUAAAAAAAC